ensembl:lncRNA
CGAGGCAAAUAGUCAAAAGGGGAACAGAAAGCGCUCCGCAGGCUCAACUGGAGUCAGGAGGGAAACUCCACCGACGCCUUGCGGUCUGGAGCGGAUAAAGCAGGGAUCUGGUGUGGAAACCCGAGGCCUGACACCAUAACAGUCUGAUUAAAGCGAGUCACAUGUACUCCGCGGUACUCCGCGGGUCAGACUCUGCAGGACACAAAGCAAAAACAUGCAAACUGGUGAGCUGCAUCUGAUCUGCAUCCGGCGCCAUUCACCGGCACCUGAGACCAGCCUGGAUACUGGGAGGGACUGAUGAUGAGCCUCGGAACUCAGGAGCCUUUAUGUCCGUCACUGGUGAUCCCCGGAAUGAGCCACAGCAUCCGCGAAGGAGCAACUGAUAACAGAGAAUAAAAGAACAUAGACAACAGUAUAACAUGGAACCACAGGGAUCAGAGUUUAAAGGCACAGGGACACAAAUAAAUUCAAUUCAAUUCAAUUCAUUUUGUAUAGCC